rnacentral:rRNA from 1 species
GAUGAACGCUGGCGGCGUGCCUAAUACAUGCAAGUCGAGCGAACAGAUAAGGAGCUUGCUCCUUUGACGUUAGCGGCGGACGGGUGAGUAACACGUGGGUAACCUACCUAUAAGACUGGGAUAACUUCGGGAAACCGGAGCUAAUACCGGAUAACAUUUGGAACCGCAUGGUUCUAAAGUGAAAGAUGGUUUUGCUAUCACUUAUAGAUGGACCCGCGCCGUAUUAGCUAGUUGUUAAGGUAACGGCUUACCAAGGCGACGAUACGUAGCCGACCUGAGAGGGUGAUCGGCCACACUGGAACUGAGACACGGUCCAGACUCCUACGGGAGGCAGCAGUAGGGAAUCUUCAGCAAUGGGCGAAAGCCUGACGGAGCAACGCCGCGUGAGUGAUGAAGGGUUUCGGCUCGUAAAACUCUGUUAUUAGGGAAGAACAAAUGUGUAAGUAACUGUGCACGUCUUGACGGUACCUAAUCAGAAAGCCACGGCUAACUACGUG